UACGAAGGGGGGCUAGCGUUGCUCGGAAUCACUGGGCGUAAAGCGCACGUAGGCGGCUUUUUAAGUCAGGGGUGAAAUCCUGGAGCUCAACUCCAGAACUGCCUUUGAUACUGAGAGCUUGAGUCCGGGAGAGGUGAGUGGAACUGCGAGUGUAGAGGUGAAAUUCGUAGAUAUUCGCAAGAACACCAGUGGCGAAGGCGGCUCACUGGCCCGGUACUGACGCUGAGGUGCGAAAAGCGUGGGGAGCAAACAGGG
rnacentral:rRNA from 1 species